UACGGAAUGUGCAAACGUUAUUCGGAAUCACUGGGCUUAAAGAGUCCGUAGGCGGCUUGUUAGGUGAGGUGUGAAAGCCCUCGGCCCAACCGAGUAAUUGCGCUUCAAACCGGCAAGCUAGAGGAGGAUAGAGGUGGGCGGAACUGAUGGUGGAGCGGUGAAAUGCGUUGAUAUCAUCAGGAACACCGGAGGCGAAGGCGGUCCACUGGGUCCUUUCUGACGCUGAGGGACGAAAGCUAGGGGAGCGAACGGG
rnacentral:rRNA from 1 species